rnacentral:rRNA from 1 species
UCCUGGCUCAGGACGAACGCUGGCGGCGUGCUUAACACAUGCAAGUCGAACGAUGAUGCUCUGGUUUUCUGGGGUGGAUUAGUGGCGAACGGGUGAGUAACACGUGAGUAACCUGCCCUCUUCUUUGGGAUAACGGUCGGAAACGGCUGCUAAUACUGGAUAUUCACUCAUUGGCGCAUGUUGGUGGGUGGAAAGGUUUUUUCUGGUGGGGGAUGGGCUCGCGGCCUAUCAGCUUGUUGGUGGGGUGAUGGCCUACCAAGGCUUUGACGGGUAACCGGCCUGAGAGGGUGACCGGUCACAUUGGGACUGAGAUACGGCCCAGACUCCUACGGGAGGCAGCAGUGGGGAAUUUUGCACAAUGGGCGCAAGCCUGAUGCAGCGACGCCGCGUGAGGGAUGAAGGCCUUCGGGUUGUAAACCUUUUUCGCUCAUGGUCAAGCCGCAGCUUGGGUUGUGGUGAGGGUAGUGGGUAAAGAAGCGCCGGCUAACUACGUGCCAGCAGCCGCG